GAGAGGAAGGGUUGUGAGAGAGAAGAGAGGUCAGAGAAGGAUAACGAGAGAGAGAGGAAGGGUUGUGAGGGAGAAGAGAGGUCAGAGAAGGAUAACGAGAGAGAGAGGAAGGGUUAUGAGGGAGAAGAGAGGUCAGAGAAGGAUAACGAGAGAGAGAGGAAGGGUUGUGAGGGAGAAGAGAGGUCAGAGAAGGAUAACGAGAGAGAGAGGAAGGGUUGUGAGGGAGAAGAGAGGUCAGAGAAGGAUAACGAGAGAGAGAGGAAGGGUUGAGGGAGAAGAGAGGUCAGAGAAGGAUAACGAGAGAGAGAGGAAGGGUUGUGAGAGAGAAGAGAGGUCAGAGAAGGAUAACGAGAGAGAGAGGAAGGGUUGUGAGGGAGAAGAGAGGUCAGAGAAGGAUAACGAGAGAGAGAGGAAGGGUUGUGAGGGAGAAGAGAGGUCAGAGAAGGAUAACGAGAGAGAGAGGAAGGGUUGUGAGGGAGAAGAGAGGUCAGAGAAGGAUAACGAGAGAGAGAGGAAGGGUUGUGAGGGAGAAGAGAGGUCAGAGAAGGAUAACGAGAGAGAGGAAGGGUUGAGGGCGAAGAGAGGUCAGAGAAGGAUAACGAGAGAGAGAGGGAGGGUUGUGAGAGAGAAGAGAGGUCAGAGAAGGAUAACGAGAGAGAGAGGAAGGGUUGUGAGGGAGAAGAGAGGUCAGAGAAGGAUAACUAGAGAGAGGAAGGGUUGAGGGAGAAGAGAGGUCAGAGAAGGAUAACGAGAGAGAGAGGAAGGGUUGUGAGGGAGAAGAGAGGUCAGAGAAGGAUAACGAGAGAGAGAGGAAGGGUUGUGAGGGAGAAGAGAGGUCAGAGAAGGAUAACGAGAGAGAGAGGAAGGGUUGUGAGGGAGAAGAGAGGUCAGAGAAGGAUAACGAGAGAGAGAGGAAGGGUUGUGAGGGAGAAGAGAGGUCAGAGAAGGAUAACGAGAGAGAGGAAGGGUUGAGGGCGAAGAGAGGUCAGAGAAGGAUAACGAGAGAGAGAGGGAGGGUUGUGAGAGAGAAGAGAGGUCAGAGAAGGAUAACGAGAGAGAGAGGAAGGGUUGUGAGGGAGAAGAGAGGUCAGAGAAGGAUAACUAGAGAGAGGAAGGGUUGAGGGAGAAGAG